rnacentral:pre_miRNA from 1 species
UGAUGAUGAUGAUGAUGAUGACGACGACGAUGACGAUCAUGAUGAUGAUGAUCAUCAUCAUCAUCACCACCAUCGUCAUCGUCAUCAUCGUCAUCA